UACGUAGGGUGCAAGCGUUGUCCGGAAUUAUUGGGCGUAAAGAGCUUGUAGGCGGUUUGUCGCGUCUGCUGUGAAAUUUCGGGGCUCAACCCCGAACUUGCAGUGGGUACGGGCAGACUAGAGUGUGGUAGGGGAGACUGGAAUUCCUGGUGUAGCAGUGAAAUGCGUAGAGAUCAUGAGGAAGACCAGUGGCGAAGGCGGGUCUCUGGACAGUUCCUGACACUGAGGCACGAAGGCCAGGGGAGCAAACGGG
rnacentral:rRNA from 1 species